AGAAUCAACGCUGGCGGCGUGCCUAACACAUGCAAGUCGCACGAGAAAGGGUAGCAAUACCUGAGUAAAGUGGCGCACGGGUGAGUAACACGUGAAUUAUCUACCUCCGAGUGGGGAAUAACUGAGAGAAAUCUUAGCUAAUACCGCAUAACACUUACGAGUCAAAGCAGCAAUGCGAUUGGAGAGGAGUUCGCGGCCGAUUAGUUAGUUGGCGGGGUAAUGGCCCACCAAGACGAUGAUCGGUA
rnacentral:rRNA from 1 species